rnacentral:rRNA from 1 species
UACGAAGGGGGCGAGCGUUGUUCGGAUUUACUGGGCGUAAAGGGCGCGCAGGCGGCUUUGUUUGUCAGGCGUGAAAUCCCGAGGCUCAACCUCGGGCCUGCAGCCGAUACGGGCAGACUAGAGUUCGGCAGGGGAGACUGGAAUUCCUGGUGUAGCGGUGAAAUGCGCAGAUAUCAGGAGGAACACCGGUGGCGAAGGCGGGUCUCUGGGCCGAUACUGACACUGAGGAGCGAAAGCGUGGGGAGCGAACAGG